rnacentral:rRNA from 1 species
GGGCCCGCACAAGCGGUGGAGCAUGUGGUUUAAUUCGAUGAUACGCGAGGAACCUUACCAGGGCUUAAAUGGGAGAUGACAGGGGCAGAGACGCCCUUUUCUUCGGACAUCUUUCAAGGUGCUGCAUGGUUGUCGUCAGCUCGUGCCGUGAGGUGUCAGGUUAAGUCCUAUAACGAGCGCAACCCCUACCGUUAGUUGCCAGCGAUUCAAGUCGGGGACUCUAACGGGACUGCCGGUGCAAACCGUGAGGAAGGUGGGGACGACGUCAAAUCAUCACGGCCCUUACGUCCUGGCUACACACGUGCUACAAUGGUCGGUACAGAGGGAAGCCAACCCGCGAGGGGGAGCCAA